UUCAUAGCUAAGUCGGAAAACGAUGUGGAAAGGCAUAGACAGCCAGGAGGUUGGCUUAGAAGCAGCCAUCCUUUAAAGAAAGCGUAAUAGCUCACUGGUCGAGUCGGUCUGCGCGGAAGAUUUAACGGGGCUAAGCUAUGAACCGAAGCUUGGGGUGCAUAUUUUUAUAUGCGCGGUAGAGGAGCGUUCCGUAAGCCUGUGAAGGUGAGUUGAGAAGCUUGCUGGAGGUAUCGGAAGUGCGAAUGCUGACAUGAGUAACGAUAAUAUGGGUGAAAAACCCAUACGCCGAAAGCCUAAGGUUUCCUUGCGCAACGUUAAUCGGCGCAGGGUUAGUCGGCCCCUAAGGCGAGGGCGAAAGCCGUAGUCGAUGGGAAGCAGGUUAAUAUUCCUGCACCUCGCGUGAGUGCGAUGGAGGGACGGAGAAGGCUAGGUGUACCGGGCGUUGGUUGUCCCGGGGAAAGGAGGUAGGCUGGUUCCUUAGGAAAAUCCGGGGGUCCUUUUAAAGCCGAGCACCGAGACGAGUCUUUUUAGAUGAAGUCACUGAUGCCACGCUUCCAGGAAAAGCUUCUAAGCUUCAGCUCACGAAGACCGUACCGUAAACCGACACAGGUAGGUAGGAUGAGAAUUCUCAGGCGCUUGAGAGAACUCGGGUGAAGGAACUAGGCAACAUGGCACCGUAACUUCGGGAGAAGGUGCACCCUUUUUGGUGGCGCGUGCGCGUUAUAGCUGAAGAGGGUCGCAGAAACCAGGCCGCUGCGACUGUUUAUCAAAAACACAGCACUCUGCAAACACGAAAGUGGACGUAUAGGGUGUGACGCCUGCCCGGUGCUGGAAGGUUAAUUGAUGGGGUUAGCUGUAAAAAGCGAAGCUCUUGAUCGAAGCCCCAGUAAACGGCGGCCGUAACUAUAACGGUCCUAAGGUAGCGAAAUUCCUUGUCGGGUAAGUUCCGACCUGCACGAAUGGCGUAACGACAGCGGCGCUGUCUCCACCCGAGACUCAGUGAAAUUGAAAUCGCUGUGAAGAUGCAGCGUUCCCGUGGCAAGACGGAAAGACCCGUGAACCUUUACUAUAGCUUUACACUGAACGUUGAGUUCGUCUGUGUAGGAUAGGUGGAGGCUAUGAAACCAUGACGCUAGUUGUGUUGGAGCCAUCCUUGAAAUACCACCCUGUCGUGCUUGACGUUCUAACCUAGUUCCGUUAUCCGGAUCAGGGACAGUGUAUGGUGGGUAGUUUGACUGGGGCGGUCUCCUCCCAAAGAGUAACGGAGGAGCACGAAGGUACGCUCAGCGCGGUCGGACAUCGCGCACUGUGUGCAAAGGCAUAAGCGUGCUUGACUGCGAGAUCGACGGAUCAAGCAGGUACGAAAGUAGGUCUUAGUGAUCCGGUGGUUCUGUAUGGAAGGGCCAUCGCUCAACGGAUAAAAGGUACUCCGGGGAUAACAGGCUGAUACCGCCCAAGAGUUCAUAUCGACGGCGGUGUUUGGCACCUCGAUGUCGGCUCAUCACAUCCUGGGGCUGUAGUCGGUCCCAAGGGUAUGGCUGUUCGCCAUUUAAAGUGGUACGCGAGCUGGGUUCAGAACGUCGUGAGACAGUUCGGUCCCUAUCUGCCAUGGGCGUUGGAGAUUUGAGAGGGGCUGCUCCUAGUACGAGAGGACCGGAGUGGACGAACCUCUGGUGUUCCGGUUGUCACGCCAGUGGCAUUGCCGGGUAGCUAUGUUCGGAAGCGAUAACCGCUGAAAGCAUCUAAGCGGGAAGCGCGCCUCAAGAUGAGAUCUCCCGGGAUGUAAAUCCCCUAAAGGAACCAUGUAGACUACGUGGUGGAUAGGUCAGGUGUGUAAGUGCAGCAAUGCAUUGAGCUAACUGAUACUAAUGAUCCGUGUGGCUUGACCAUAUAACCUUA
rnacentral:rRNA from 1 species